rfam:Spirochaetaceae bacterium 4572_59 ex4572_59_scaffold_3204, whole genome shotgun sequence.
GGCGCCGUACCCAAGCGGCUAAGGGAGUGGAUUGCAAAUCCAUCAUUCAGCGGUUCGAGUCCGCUCGGCGCCU